rnacentral:rRNA from 1 species
UACGGGGGGGGCAAGCGUUGUUCGGAAUUACUGGGCGUAAAGGGCUCGUAGGUGGCCAACUAAGUCAGACGUGAAAUCCCCAGGCUUAACCUGGGAACUGCGUCUGAUACUGGAUGGCUUGAAUCCGGGAGAGGGAUGUGGAAUUCCAGGUGUAGCGGUGAAAUGCGUAGAUAUCUGGAGGAACACCGGUGGCGAAGGCGGCAUCCUGGACCGGUAUUGACGCUGAGGCGCGAAAGCCAGGGGAGCAAACGGG